rnacentral:tRNA from 1 species
CCCCUUGUAGUUCAAAGGAUAGAACGAGGGACUUCUAAUCCCUAAAUCGAGGUUCGAUUCCUCGCAAGGGGACAA